rnacentral:misc_RNA from 1 species
UUAUACUUUACUACUCCCUCCGUUCCAUUAUAAGUGCAGCCAUAAGUUUUCGUGCCCAACAUUUGACUAUCCGUCUUAUUUGAUAAUUUUAUGAAAAAAAUUUAAAAGUUAAGUCAUGCAUAAAGUCCUAUUUAUAUUUUAUCAUCUAAUAACAAUAAAAAUACUAAUUAUAAAAAUAUUUCAAAUAAGAUGAAUGGUCAAAGUUGGAAUUAAAACUUACAACUGUGCUUAUUAUGGGACGGAGGGAGUAGAACCAAGUGUGUAUUCACU